UACGUAGGGGGCAAGCGUUGUCCGGAUUUAUUGGGCGUAAAGAGCGUGUAGGCGGUCUGGUAGGUCCGUUGUGAAAACUCGAGGCUCAACCUCGAGACGCCGAUGGAAACCCUCAGACUAGAGUCCGGAAGAGGAGAGUGGAAUUCCUGGUGUAGCGGUGAAAUGCGCAGAUAUCAGGAAGAACACCCGUGGCUAAGGCGGCUCUCUAGUACGUGACUGACGCUGAGACGCGACAGCGUGGGGAGCGAACAGG
rnacentral:rRNA from 1 species